GGCCCUUCGGGGUACACGAGCGGCGAACGGGUGAGUAACACGUGAGUAACCUGCCCCUGACUCGGGGAUAAGCCGGGGAAACCCGGUCUAAUACCCGAUACGACACUGCGGUGCAUACCGCGGUGUGGAAAGUUUUUUCGGUUGGGGAGGGGCUCGCGGCCUAUCAGCUUGUUGGUGGGGUGAAGGCCUACCAAGGCGAUUACGGGUAGCCGGCCUGAGAGGGCGACCGGCCACACUGGGACUGAGACACGGCCCAGACUCCUACGGGAGGCAGCAGUGGGGAAUCUUGCGCAAUGGGCGGAAGCCUGACGCAGCGACGCCGCGUGGGGGAUGACGGCCUUCGGGUUGUAAACCUCUUUUACCACCGGCGCAGGCCCCGGUUUUUGCCGGGGUUGACGGUAGGUGGGGAAUAAGGACCGGCCAACUACGUGCCAGCAGCCGCGGUAAUACGUAGGGUCCGAGCGUUGUCCGGAAUUAUUGGGCGUAAAGAGCUCGUAGGUGGUGUGUCGCGUCUGCUGUGCAAGUCCGGGGCUUAACCCCGGUUUUGCAGUGGAUACGGGCAUGCUAGAGGUAGGUAGGGGAGACUGGAAUUCCUGGUGUA
rnacentral:rRNA from 1 species